UCUCCUGUAGCUCAGUGGUAGAGCGUCCGUCCUGUGUGCGGAAGCUCAUAGGUUUAAAUUAACUCCUGUGGGGGGAA